AGUGCAGACUUGAUGGUGCAUGGUUGGGCUGGGGCCAUGACUCCACCCUUUCCCUCCCCACUGUUCCCCGGCCUCUGCGGGCUGAAACUACAGCCUCUUUCACCCAUUCUGAGCCCAGUGCUUCCUGUAAUUAUGAGGUAAAGCAGUGAGAACAUCCUGGAAGCUGGCCCUGGCCUGGAGGUGCGCACGGAGGACAGAGCGCACGGCCCUCGGCCUGCCACUUGGCUCUUUCGGGUUCUAGCCGCACUGGGGGCUGAUGGAGGAACCUGAGCUCCUUGCCUUCAUGGGCGCCGCCGCACAGACUGCUCAGGACUCUGCAAAACUCAUCAUCUGGCCGGUUGCCGAGUCUCCUUAAAUCCACUCUGAGUUGCGUGUUACUUCAUCCUCCUGGCACUUUUGAGGGCUGCCUUCCUGUUUGCGGUCGUCUCAUCCUGACGUCGGUCAGCGCCGUGCUGGGCUCCGCCAUGUUGGAGCCGGGGGCGAAAGGGGAAAUCAGUCAUACCGAGCCUGUCUUGACUGGGAAAAUUUGAUAUUUCAUUCAUCCAUCAUGGAUAUUUCGCAGUAGUUUGGUUUUUAAAAAGUAUUGCAUUGAAGUAUGA